rnacentral:misc_RNA from 1 species
AGAGUUACAAUAUAUAGUCAAAAUAUUGGCUUAAGUUUAACACAUUGAGGUACAACAUAUCUUGACAUGUGCAUUAACUUACUGACGUUAUUAUAUAAAAUAAGGACUGAACAAAAAGGACUUGUGGCAAAAGCGCCAUGACACUUUCUGUAAAAGCAUGAUUAAUGUGCUAUACGACAAUGAACAACAGUGCGCAAGGAAAUGACCCAAUAAAGGACAUGAGGGGAUCUAAGGACCCGUUUAAGUCGACACCUUACGUCGAUCCUCUAAAACAAUCACCGGACACAUACAAGGAUCCGUUGAGUGUUCCAAAGGAAUCAUACGAAGACCCAGUUAAAUCAGAAGUAAAGUUACCAGAAUAUCAUGAGUAUGUACUGCCAGACAUUGAUCCAGUUACGGAAAAACCAAGGAAAAAGCUAUCAAAAAGAACACAUACAGAAGAAGAACCCAAAGUAAAUGACGAUACUAAUUCGCUACGAUAUGUUUAAUGGAAAAUAAACGGCUACAACUAAAACCAUUCUAUCGUCCGCAGCAGGGCAGCAGUGUUGAUAGUGUGAGACGGACACUUAGAAUUCAAGAGAAUCUAAAUUUUUAAAAACAAUAUUUUUUUCGAAGUUUUCAUCACUUAAAAUAAACGAUCACAAGACGCUAGUGAUAAAACCAAAACUGACAUAAAAUGUUACCAAUAUAUACAUUAUAUAUGCAUAAUUUAUCAAGUGAACAAGACCAUUUUAAUCAUUACCACAUCCAAUUGUAUUGUCCUAAAGCAAUCAAAGCUUUCACAUCUUUUACAGUUUUCAACGGAUAAAGACUUUACUUACACUUGUGCAUCUUAAGAUAUUCUGUAAGACAGCAAAAAAAGACACGGACUUUUCUAAAUAGUAAUUGAUUAUCUCCCUUUUCGUACUUUACUUUACAUUGUUCUAUAAGUACCUAAUAGAACUACUGAAUCAAAUGGCAAGAACUUUUAGGCAAGGAACGAAGUAUCAAUGUUAUGAAACAUCAACUGAUAUUUGAACCGCACUAUGAGAAAGCCAACAUAGUGCGUUUGCGCCCAGCAUGGAUCCAGACGAGCCGCGCGUCCGCGCAGUCUGGUCAGGCUCCAUGCUGUUCGCUAACGUUUCACUAAUUGCAAAGGCUUUGAAAGCGAACAGUAUGGAUCCUGACCAGACUGUGCGGAUGCGCAGGGUGGUCUGGAUCGAUGCUGGUCGCAAACGCACUAUGUUGGUUUUCUAAUGGCGUGGGUCAUUUGAUAAUUAUAAAACAUUCUCCCCUUUAUGUUCAUCAUUAUAAAUUUAUGUAGCUUUGUUAUGAUAGAAAGAAAUUACGUUUUUCAGAAAUUCAAUAAUGUAGUUUAAAUUUAAGUAUUCCACAUUAUGAGGCUUGACACAUACUCGUGUAAUCAUGUUACAUGAAUUCAAAACAAGCGGUCAUAGCAUAAGGUGCAUUGAGAAAUAUUGUGCUGAUAACUUAUUUUUUCUAUGCAAAUUGCUCUUAGGUAAAUGCAUAUUUGUAUGCCGCUACUGUUCUGAUGGUAAAUCGCUCUCAUUGAAAUUGUACAUAUAGCAUUCUCACUCUCCCUAUCGAGUUCUUGGUAACCCGGCUUUGCACAAUUAACCAAUCAGUGCAUCAUAUACAUGUAAUUUUCCUUCUUUUUGGACAACAAAACAAACAUCUCUUUUUGAUAACAUGUCAUCAUUUUAACUCUUAAAAUCAUUUUUAAUUUAUUAUGUUAAAAUGACAUGAUAAUAGUCAUUAAUAAAGACAGCAAUUCCACUUUCUGUAGCAUCAUCUGAAUGUAAUCAGAACAUCAGUAUAAUAUGUUUCUGUAUCAACUAUAAUUUAUAUACAUGUGUUAAUAUAAAUUUUAUGAAAUAUACAAGACAUAUAGUAUGGCAUCUUCCUGAAUGUUCAUUCCUAAAUAACAACAUUAAUUGUUUAUUUUAGGUUCAGUUUGCAUUUUUUGAAAUCUUUCUAUGUAAUUACAUUUUUAUACAAUGAUUUUUAUGAAGUCUUUCAUUAAAUAAAAAAGUGCUGUGUUUAA